GCUUAGGUAACUUAAUUAGUAAAGUAAAAUAUUAAAGCUAUUUUUAUUAUAAGUUUAAGUCUUACCCUAAGCA
rnacentral:tRNA from 1 species